rnacentral:tRNA from 1 species
GCAGGUGUAGCAAUGUGGCUAUUGCGCGUAUGAGGAGCGGGUUCGACUCCCGCACCCUGCA